GACGAACGCUGGCGGCGUGCUUAACACAUGCAAGUCGAACGGUAAGGCCCUUCGGGGUACACGAGUGGCGAACGGGUGAGUAACACGUGGGUGAUCUGCCCUGCACUUCGGGAUAAGCCUGGGAAACUGGGUCUAAUACCGGAUAGGACCCUGGGAUGCAUGUCCUGGGGUGGAAAGCUUUUGCGGUGUGGGAUGGGCCCGCGGCCUAUCAGCUUGUUGGUGGGGUGAUGGCCUACCAAGGCGACGACGGGUAGCCGGCCUGAGAGGGUGACCGGCCACACUGGGACUGAGAUACGGCCCAGACUCCUACGGGAGGCAGCAGUGGGGAAUAUUGCACAAUGGGCGCAAGCCUGAUGCAGCGACGCCGCGUGAGGGAUGACGGCCUUCGGGUUGCAAACCUCUUUCAGCACCGACGAAGCGCAAGUGACGGUAGGUGCAGAAGAAGGACCGGCCAACUACGUGCCAGCAGCCGCAGUAA
rnacentral:rRNA from 1 species